rnacentral:tRNA from 1 species
GGGGAUUUAGCUCAGUGGUAGAGCGCUUGCCUAGCAAGCGCAAGGCCCUGGGUUCGGUCCCCAGCUCUCCG